rnacentral:lncRNA from 1 species
CAGAGUCCAGAGUCCACAUCGGUUCAGUGUUGCUUCCUUUGGAGUGGUGGUGUUCCUGUGCUGAUCUGUGCGGUCCUUGUUAUAGUUUAUAGAUGUUUAUGGAAGGCGUCACUUGGAGUGUAAUUCUCUGCCUGGUCUAAAGUCCAACACCAUCAGAAGUAUAAACCCUCCCGCUGCAGUCACAUCCUGAGGUUUGCAGCUUCUCCUUCUUGUGACGAACUUCAUUCCACAUCAGACACCACCAGCAGCAACAGAAAACCUCCUCCUCCUCCUCUUCCUCUUCCUCCUCCUCCUCCUCCUCCUCAGUGUGGACACACAGUGAAUCUGAAGACAUCAUGGAGAAAUCACCGUCUUCAUCAGUCCCUGACUCCUCACUCCGUGGUGGAUCUGUGGUGAAAACCAGAUCAGAAGAUGAAGCCAAAUGUAAAGGAGUAGCUGCUGCCACGCGCAGUCGUGUUGCAGCUGCUCGCACUAAGUCAAACGAAUCUUUUUUGGAUUUUUGAAGGACUCAAAACUGGAUGUGGAGCCAGCUCGGCAUCGUCUGGAUCCAGCAGCACAUCCAUGAGGAGGAUCAGAACAAAGUGUUUAUGCUGUGUGAUCAAACAGGGAUAAUCUGGGAUUCCUCUGUAUUUAAUCUGUGAAAUCUGAUCUAAAUGUUUCUCUGAUGUGAUAAACGUGGUGUCAGAGAAAAGCCUUUUCUUGCCUGUGUAAUCACUGUUAAAAGUAACGCUGUGUUUCAAAUGUUUUGAGGUAGCAGAGUAUAAACUGAUUGUUUCUACCUGUUAAUCUCUGAUAUGAGAGCUCCCCCUGGUGGUCAUUUAAUCAAGACUAAAUCAGAACAAUAACAUACAGUCAGUCGUUUGUGUCAUUGAUCAGUUUUAGUCUCAUAAAGUGAUUUAAUCCUACUGCUGUUAUUAUUACUAUUAAUUGUUACAGUCAAAUAUUCAUUUAUUAGGGGUUAACAGGUCAGCUGCUGGCUGCUUCCAUUGAAAGGAUGAUGAUUAUAAAGUUAAAUAACUGUUAUCAAGUAUGUUUAUUCUUUUAAAAAUGAAGACGUAGGAAACAAAUGAGAGCAAAUCUUAUGUGAUCACAUCAACAAUGCUCAGAAAAAUGACACAGCUGGUUUGCUGUAUUGUAAACUGUACACCUUAAAUAAAGUUUAACAAUGGAAAUAAAAAU